rnacentral:tRNA from 1 species
GUUGACAUAGUUUAAUAAAUACUAGACUGUGGUUCUAGAGAUGGGGGUGGAAAGCCCCCUGUAAACU